GAGGGCACAUCCCAGUUACCCACAUGCAAGGAGGCUGUCAAACAGAGAAAUCACUGCAGACUGUUGGUACACGGACAUCUGCUGCCCAGCUCAGGAGUAAAGUACCUUUUGUUUUGAUGAGGUGAUGGUGAGGACAGCCACAGCUUCCAUCUGGUAGAGAACUGCUUCCGCUCAGUCUUCCAAAUAGUGAUGAGAACAAGGAUCACCACAUCUCCCUGUUUACCCUACUUUCAUGCAUUUCGUCUGCAAGGCCCUGCAAAAGCUUCUGUCCUCAAACCCCCAGACUUCUUAAUUAACUCAGUAACCUAUACAUUGCACAUUGGAGUGUGAAGGUAACAGUUUGUUCUAGCUUUGGAGUAGUGGUGUAUUUUUUUGGUUUACAAUAAAGUUGGCUUUAACUAUUA